UUUCAGAAUGGUUUAUUGUCCUCCCUCUGCCAGAAGCAGAAACAGAUCUUUCUGCAGCCUUCUCUGUGAGAACCCCUCCAGCUCCUGCAGGGCUACAUUCCAUAUUAUUGUGGGAGAGGAAAGGACAAUCACUCCUUACUGUUUAGAUUCGUCUUUCACUUGCUGUUACCCACCAUCUGAGGAAGUUUCCACAUUGAGUAUUCAUGGAUUGAAUGCCAAGGACAGCGCCUAAUUACAGAAUCUUUUAAGAUAAGUGAUACAAGAAAGCAGAGUGUCAAGGGCGCUCCCUGGAAAAACAAGAUACCAAGAUCAAAAGUGGCUGACUGCGUUAAGAAGAGCUAAAUACACUUCUCCAAAGAAGACAUACUGCAAAGAAGACAAUAGGCACAUGAAAAAAAAAAUGCUAUCAUCAUAUAUCAUUUACAGAGAUGCAAAUAAAAACCACAGUGAGAUGCCCUCUCAUACCCAUGGAAAUGACAGGUUUCUGGAAAUUCUAUUUCCUCAUGAUAACUUCAAUCCAGUCUGAAUCACUCUGGCAGGAGAGGCACCAAGAGUCAGGCAUUUCAGGAGAAAAUUACCCUCCUGAGGACCUCAAGUAGAAUUACACAAACAACUGAGAUUUGAAUCCAAAGUCACCAAAAUAAUCUACUUACUUCCCCACUGGCACAUUAACUUUGAAAAGGUUCCCCUGUCAAAAUAUAAAACAGCAGAAGGCAACACAUUUCUACUGAAAUACAGUCCAUCCUGCAUGACAAUAUGAUUGGACCAGGACCCAAAAUGACUCUGUGGAAUGACAGGCACAUGAUGGGAAGUUUCCUUACCUGCUUUUGCUUAAUUUUGUCUUGUUAAGUUUAUCCUUUCCC